rnacentral:rRNA from 1 species
AUUGAACGCUGGCGGCGGGCCUAACACAUGCAAGUCGAGCGGAUGAAGGGAGCUUGCUCCUGGAUUCAGCGGCGGACGGGUGAGUAAUGCCUAGGAAUCUGCCUGGUAGUGGGGGAUAACGUCCGGAAACGGGCGCUAAUACCGCAUACGUCCUGAGGGAGAAAGUGGGGGAUCUUCGGACCUCACGCUAUCAGAUGAGCCUAGGUCGGAUUAGCUAGUUGGUGGGGUAAGGGCCUACCAAGGCGACGAUCCGUAACUGGUCUGAGAGGAUGAUCAGUCACACUGGAACUGAGACACGGUCCAGACUCCUACGGGAGGCAGCAGUGGGGAAUAUUGGACAAUGGGCGAAAGCCUGAUCCAGCCAUGCCGCGUGUGUGAAGAAGGUCUUCGGAUUGUAAAGCACUUUAAGUUGGGAGGAAGGGCAGUAAGUUAAUACCUUGCUGUUUUGACGUUACCAACAGAAUAAGCACCGGCUAACUUCGUG